GCCCUUGGCAUCUGACACUGUGAUUCCUGCAUGAAAACAGUGGCUUGUGGGACCUGGACCUACAACAUGACUUCUGCCUUCACAGUGAAGUCUGCC
rnacentral:miRNA from 1 species